rnacentral:rRNA from 1 species
UGGGGAAUAUUGGACAAUGGGGGGAACCCUGAUCCAGCAAUGCCGCGUGUGUGAAGAAGGCCUGCGGGUUGUAAAGCACUUUCGGUGGGGAGGAAAUGCUUGGUGCUAAUAGUAUCAAGAGCUGACGUUACCCACAGAAGAAGCACCGGCUAAUUCUGUGCCAGCAGCCGCGGUAAUACAGAAGGUGCAAGCGUUAAUCGGAAUUACUGGGCGUAAAGGGUGCGUAGGUGGUUAAUUAAGUUAAGUGUGAAAUCCCCGGGCUUAACCUGGGAACUGCGCUUAAUACUGGUUGACUAGAGUACUGUAGAGGAAGGUGGAAUUUCCAGUGUAGCGGUGAAAUGCGUAGAUAUUGGAAGGAACAUCAGUGGCGAAGGCGACUUUCUGGACAGCUACUGACACUGAGGCACGAAAGCAUGGGGAGCAAACAGGAUUAGAUACCCCCGUAGUCC